AGUGAACGCUGGCGGUAGGCCUAACACAUGCAAGUCGAACGGCAGCACAGUAAGAGCUUGCUCUUACGGGUGGCGAGUGGCGGACGAGUGAGGAAUACAUCGGAAUCUACUUUUUCGUGGGGGAUAACGUAGGGAAACUUACGCUAAUACCGCAUACGACCUACGGGUGAAAGCAGGGGAUCUUCGGACCUUGCGCGAUUGAAUGAGCCGAUGUCGGAUUAGCUAGUUGGCGGGGUAAAGGCCCACCAAGGCGACGAUCCGUAGCUGGUCUGAGAGGAUGAUCAGCCACAAUGGAACUGAGACACGGUCCAGACUCCUACGGGAGGCAGCAGUGGGGAAUAUUGGACAAUGGGCGCAAGCCUGAUCCAGCCAUACCGCGUGGGUGAAGAAGGCCUUCGGGUUGUAAAGCCCUUUUGUUGGGAAAGAAAAGCAGCAGGUUAAUACCCCGCUGUUCUGACGGUACCCAAAGAAUAAGCACCGGCUAACUUCGUG
rnacentral:rRNA from 1 species